UACGUAGGGUGCGAGCGUUGUCCGGAAUUAUUGGGCGUAAAGAGCUCGUAGGCGGUGUGUCACGUCGUUCGUGAAAACCUGCAGCUUAACUGUGGGCGUGCGGUCGAUACGGGCAUCACUGGAGUUCGGCAGGGGAGACUGGAAUUCCUGGUGUAGCGGUGAAAUGCGCAGAUAUCAGGAGGAACACCGGUGGCGAAGGCGGUUCUCUGGGCCUUACCUGACGCUGAGGAGCGAAAGCAUGGGGAGCAAACAGG
rnacentral:rRNA from 1 species